rnacentral:rRNA from 1 species
CGCGGCCUAUCAGCUUGUUGGUGGGGUGAUGGCCUACCAAGGCGACGACGGGUAGCCGGCCUGAGAGGGCGACCGGCCACACUGGGACUGAGACACGGCCCAGACUCCUACGGGAGGCAGCAGUGGGGAAUAUUGCACAAUGGGCGGAAGCCUGAUGCAGCGACGCCGCGUGAGGGAUGACGGCCUUCGGGUUGUAAACCUCUUUCGACAGGGACGAAGCACAAGUGACGGUACCUGUAGAAGAAGCGCCGGCCAACUACGUGCCAGCAGCCGCGGUAAGACGUAGGGCGCGAGCGUUGUCCGGAUUUAUUGGGCGUAAAGAGCUCGUAGGCGGCUCGUCGCGUCGGCUGUGAAAACCCGAGGCUCAACCUCGGGCCUGCAGUCGAUACGGGCAGACUAGAGUGCUGUAGGGGAGACUGGAAUUCCUGGUGUAGCGGUGAAAUGCGCGGAUAUCAGGAGGAACACCGGUGGCGAAGGCGGGUCUCUGGGCAGUAACUGACGCUGAGGAGCGAAAGCGUGGGGAACAAACAGGAUUAGAUACCCUGGUAGUCCACGCCGUAAACGUUGGGCGCUAGGUGUGGGCUGUCUUCCACGCAGUCCGUGCCGCAGCUAACGCAUUAAGCGCCCCGCCUGGGGAGUACGG